rnacentral:rRNA from 1 species
AGCAGUCGCCGCGGUAAUACGAAGGUGGCUAGCGUUGUUCGGAUUUACUGGGCGUAAAGCGCACGUAGGCGGACUUUUAAGUCAGGGGUGAAAUGCCGGGGCUCAACCCCGGAACUGCCUUUGAUACUGGAAGUCUUGAGUAUGGUAGAGGUGAGUGGAAUUCCGAGUGUAGAGGUGAAAUUCGUAGAUAUUCGGAGGAACACCAGUGGCGAAGGCGGCUCACUGGACCAUUACUGACGCUGAGGUGCGAAAGCGUGGGGAGCAAACAGGAUUAGAUACCCGCGUAGUCCCUGUCUCUUAUAA